rnacentral:rRNA from 1 species
UACGUAGGGGGCAAGCGUUGUCCGGAUUUACUGGGCGUAAAGAGCGCGUAGGCGGAAGCUUAAGUGUGGCCUGAAAGCCCCCGGCUCAACCGGGGAAGGUGGCUGCAAACUGGGUUUCUUGAGGGCGAUAGGGGAGAGCGGAAUUCCUGGUGUAGCGGUGAAAUGCGUAGAUAUUCGCAAGAACACCAGUGGCGAAGGCGGCUUACUGGUCCGGUUCUGACGCUGAGGCGCGAAAGCGUGGGGAGCAAACAGG